GAUCUACUCCCUUCGUUUGGAAAUACUUGUCAUUGAAAUGGAUGUAUCUAGAUGUAUUUUAGUUCUAGAUACAUCCAUUUUGGUGACAAGUAAUUCCGAACGGAGGGAAUACGUG
rnacentral:pre_miRNA from 1 species